UUAAGUUCAGCGGGUAGUCUCACCCGAUUUGAGGUCAAGGUUUGUUUCGUGGGUCAAGCCUCCCACCGAAAAAUCGGCGGCGACCGGAACACCAUCGUUGUCAAUGAGACGGUUAGAAGCAGGAGCACAGCGCCAAAAAUCCAAAAGACGUAAAAACAACUUAUCACGCCAAGGACCGACAAUGCAGACCCCACUAAUAC
rnacentral:misc_RNA from 1 species